ACCUGGCUGGCUCAGCCAGUAGAGUGUGAGACUCUUGAUCUCAGGGUCGUGGGUUCGAGUCCCACACUGGGGG